GCGAAGUCCUUGGUCAUCAGCGCCAGUUACUGUUGCCAGACUUUUGUUUGGCAGUGGUAGCUUGGUGUAGAUGUUCCUAAAAGGCGGUCUUGCUGUGAUGUUCAAUGCACAGUUAUAUAACCGCAACAUCGCAGAACAAGUUGCCCUUCGGGUGGCGACUUAUGAUAUAUUCUAGUAACUGCUUGUAGCCACUUAGGCUUUGAUCAGGCAGUUAAACCAUAUCAAAAACAGAU
rnacentral:snoRNA from 1 species